rnacentral:rRNA from 1 species
AGAGUUUGAUCAUGGCUCAGAACGAACGCUGGCGGCAUGCCUAACACAUGCAAGUCGAACGGGAUCCUAGCUUGCUAGGUGAGAGUGGCGGACGGGUGAGUAACACGUGGGAAUCUGCCUUUUGGUUCGGGAUAACCGCGGGAAACUGCGGCUAAUACCGAAUGCCCUCGAGAGAGGAAAGAUUUAUCGCCAGAAGAGGAGCCCGCGUCCGAUUAGGUAGUUGGUGGGGUAAAGGCCUACCAAGCCGACGAUCGGUAGCUGGUCUGAGAGGAUGAUCAGCCACACUGGGACUGAGAUACGGCCCAGACUCCUACGGGAGGCAGCAGUGGGAAUAUUGGACAAUGGGGCAACCCUGAUCCAGCAAUGCCGCGUGAGUGAUGAAGGCCUUAGGGUUGUAAAGCUCUUUUCGCCAGGGAAGAUGAUGACUGUACCUGGAGAAUAAGCCCCGGCUAACUUCGUG